ACUUGAAAGAUUGAGGCCUCUGGCUCGAAGGAAAAGGCCAAGCAAUGUAGUAGCCACACCCGCCUUGCCAUUUCAGCAAAUGAAGUGAAGAAGUUGGUGUCAGGGAAUUCACUGGAAUUCAUGAUGCUUCUUUGGCUCAAAUUGCCAAAGAAUGAUGUUUCCAUCUGGGGAUGAACAAGUUGCAAGUACUUGGCCCGGCAAAAUUUUGCGAAUGUCGACUUGGGAUACUCUGCAAGAUAUUCCUUAGCUUUCACAGAUUUUAGUUCUGUAAAUCUCCUGAAAAAGUGACGUUGCUUAUUCUUUCUCUCUGGUAAAGAAUCGCUUGGAAGGGAGAAGUUUGGCAAAUUGAAACCAUCAAACAUUUCCCGGCAAACAAAGCAUUCAAACGCGAAGCAUUUAUCAUCAGCUCUCCAGUAGACCACGUCCGGUACAAUCGAAUUGGCUGCAGCUUCAAGAUUCCAAUCAGUAGCUUUCAUCUGAUCAAUCAUCAACUUGACAAAGCUUCGGAUUGACUUCACUGUAAACCUAACAACUGCUAGGAAAUGACUAGGACUCAGACCUGAUCGGUGAAGAUUGUCAGGCAUAGACAGCUGUCCACUCUGAUUUAAUCUCUUCUCAAGUAGCUGGUUCUGUCUAUUGGAUUCCUCCAAUUUUUCUUUAAGAUAUAUGAUCUCAGAAUCCUUGAGCCUCAACUGAGACUCCAAUUUCUUCCCCAUAAUUUCAUAGGUCUUUGAAACACACUUCUGCUCCUGAACUUCAGCCAACAGCAUAGUAGUCUCUGACAAAUUAUCGAACUGUUUUUUAAUAUAACACUGCUUCAACUCAGCUAAAUUCUUCAACUCGGAAACCACCAAUUUAUCAGCUGCUUGGAUCCCAUCAACGUCAUAAGGAGACUGAGCACACUGUAACUGAGCAUAUGCUGCUUUAACAGAGGAAAUGCUGGCAAACAGUUUUGCAAGAAAUCGCCAAACUCCUUUGGUGUUCCUCAUCACUGCUGAUUUUGAAGGAUUGGCGCAGACUGACUGUGCUCUUAUUGCCUAUCUUCUUAUCAUCCUUGACCUUUUCCUGGGACUCGACUUUUUGCACACCAUCAACUGGAGCAA
rnacentral:misc_RNA from 1 species